GACGAACGCUGGCGGCGUGCUUAACACAUGCAAGUCGAACGGAAAGGCCCUGCUUUUGUGGGGUGCUCGAGUGGCUAACGUGUGAGUAACACGUGAGUAACCUGCCCUUGACUUUGGGAUAACUUCAGGAAACUGGGGCUACUACCGGAUAGGAGCUCCUGCUGCAUGGUGGGGGUUGGAAAGUUUCGGCGGUUGGGGAUGGACUCGCGGCUUAUCAGCUUGUUGGUGGGGUAGUGGCUUACCAAGGCUUUGACGGGUAGCCGGCCUGAGAGGGUGACCGGCCACAUUGGGAAUGAGAUACGGCCCAGACUCCUACGGGAGGCAGCAGUGGGGAAUAUUGCACAAUGGGCGGAAGCCUGAUGCAGCAACGCCGCGUGCGGGAUGACGGCCUUCGGGUUGUAAACCGCUUUCGCCUGUGACGAAGCGUGAGUGACGGUAAUGGGUAAAGAAGCACCGGCUAACUACGUG
rnacentral:rRNA from 1 species